GUGAAGCUCGAAAUUUCAAGCAAGCAACCAAAUCUGGCGUGAAAGGACCAGGGAAAGAAAAGAGAGCGGAGAAGAAGUGGAGAGAUAGACGCAUGAUGAGUAUGGAGGGAUGAUGUUAGGUAUUUGACCCCACCUUUCAUUUUCCCUCCCUCCCUCCAUGUUAAGUCUCUCCAUUUCGCUUGUCAGAUCGAUUCCCCUUUUCCUUUUUUCGCCUACUGUCUAGCUCCUUUCCGCAGUCUCAUUGCUAUUGUGAAAAGAAGAAAAAAGAAAAGAAACGACUAGAAAAGAGACGAAGAGAAAAAUCAAAGU
rnacentral:ribozyme from 11 species